rnacentral:rRNA from 1 species
GACGAACGCUGGCGGCGUGCUUAACACAUGCAAGUCGAACGGAAGUAGCAAUACUUCAGUGGCGCACGGGUGAGGAACACGUAGCUCAUCUGCCCUCAAGUGUGGGAUAACGCUCCGAAAGGAGUGCUAAUACCGCAUAAGCUCCCGGAUUGCAGAGGUCUGGGAGAAAAGGAGUAAUUCGCUUGAGGAGGAGGCUGCGGCCCAUCAGGUAGUUGGUGCGGUAACGGCGCACCAAGCCGACGACGGGUAGGGGACCUGAGAGGGUCGACCCC